GGGGAUGUAGCUCAGUAGGUAGAGCGCUUGCCUGGCAAGCAGGUAGCCAAAGGCAUUGGUGAUCUGUUCUUGUAAGCCUUUGAUUUCUG
rnacentral:tRNA from 1 species